GGAAAGGUAGCUCAGCUGGUUAGAGCACGGCACUCAUAAUGCCGGGGUCGAGGGUUCGAGUCCCUCCCUUUCCACCA
rnacentral:tRNA from 5 species